UACGAGAGCCUCAAGCGUUAUCCGGAAUUAUUGGGCGUAAAGGGUGUGUAGGUGGACAUGUUAGUCCUGUGUGAAAGCCUGUUGCUCAACAACAGAUCCGCAUGGGAAACGGCAUGACUGCGAGGGUGCGAGGGGUGAAUGGAACUCAUGGUGUAGGGGUGAAAUCCGUUGAUAUCAUGGGGAACGCCAAAAGCGAAGGCAAUUCGACUGGCGCAUACCUGACACUGAAACACGAAAGCCAGGGUAGCGAAUGGG
rnacentral:rRNA from 1 species